UACAGAGGGUGCGAGCGUUAAUCGGAAUUACUGGGCGUAAAGCGUGCGUAGACGGCUAUCUAAGUCGGGUGUGAAAGCCCCGGGCUCAACCUGGGAAUUGCAUUCGAGACUGAAUAGCUAGGGUACGGUAGAGGGAAGUGGAAUUUCCGGUGUAGCGGUGAAAUGCGUAGAUAUCGGAAGGAACAUCAGUGGCGAAAGCGACUUCCUGGACCAGUACCGACGUUCAGGCACGAAAGCGUGGGGAGCAAGCAGG
rnacentral:rRNA from 1 species